UGUUUAUGCAACCCUAGUGACACCUCUCUGCUUGUGAUUCACACAGCCUCAAAAGGCUGUGUGAAUCACAAGCAGAGAGGUGUCACUAGGGUUGCAUAAAC
rnacentral:miRNA from 1 species